GUUGGGGGAAGGCAGGGUGCAGGCUCUAAAGAACCAGCAUCUAUUUUUUCUGUUAUUCCUGACAUAAAGAGGAAGAAGGGCACUUAAUUUAAGUUUAUUUUGCCAAGUUGGGAGUUGUUAUUACUCACACUGAUCAUCAAUAAUAAAUAUAUAUGAUGAAAUGAAAUGGCUUUGGACUGGAAAUCAGAUAUGUCUUGAUGUGGCACUGCCACUAAGGAGCUAUGUGACCUUAAGCAAGUAACUUACAUCUCUAGACCUGAUUCCUUGUGUAAAUAAUGAAAGUGUAGAUUAGGUGGUACCUGAUUUUGCUUAUUCUAAGGUGUACUUUUUUCACAUUUUAAUAUUUCUAAACUUGGGAUGCAUCUUAUAAUCAAUGGGUGUCUCACAACAAUUAUUGGCAGACUUUUCUUCUUGGCUGCCUUUACAAUCUACAGCAUAUUAGAUUCAAUUAAAUACUCUACUUAGCUCUCUGAGUAGCUACAUAAUAAAGCCUUACGUUUGCGCAUUAAUAUAAUACUCAGCCGUCUUCCAGUUAUGUUCUAAAUACUCAUUCAUGUAUUUCUAGAGGACCCCAGAUUGGUGGUUUUCAACUUUGGCUUCCCAGAGAAAAGGUGAGCUGAUUCUUAGAAAGGAAGUGUCACUUACCUGGCAGGCAGAAAGGAAUGAACAGAAGAGGCAAAAGGAGGAAAUAUUCGGGAAGUCACAAAGAUGUAGAAAAACAAGGCACAUUUGGAAAAUGUCAAGUGUCUUGUAUGGCUGGACAACAGAGUACACAUUGCUAGCUAGCAGAUGAGGCUUUAGGAGGACAUAGGAACCAGAUUGCAAGGGUGCUGGGUAACAUCCUAAAAAGUUUGGAUUUUUAUCCUCAGGGUUAAGGGUGCUGAAGGUUUAUAAACAACGAGGAAAUCUAUCUGGAUUCACAUUUGAAGUUCAGGAAAAUCACUCUGGUGGUAUGGUAGAUUGUCAUUUAAAAGGGUGAGGGAGGCCAGGCGCGGUGGCUCACGCUUGCAAUCCCAGCACUUUGGGAGGCCGAGGCGGGUGGAUCACAAGGUCCGGAGAUUGAGACCAUCCUGGCUAACAUGGUGAAACCCUGUCUCUACUAAAAAUACUAAAAAAUUAGCCGGGCAGGGUGGUGGGUGCCUGUAGUACCAGCUACUUAGGAGGCUGAAGCAGGAGAAUGGUGUGAACCCGGGAGGCGGAGCUUGCAGUGAGCCGAGAUCGCGCCACUGCACUCCAGCCUGAACAACAGAGCGAGACUCCGUCUCAAAAAAAAAAAAAAAAAAAAUGGUGAGGGAAAUAAGAUGAGUUAAGAGGUUAUUGACAUAUUCAUAUGAGAAAUGAUGACAGCUUUAACUGCCAACUGGUAGGAAAAUGAAGGAGAAGAAAUGAAGCUGAAAGAUAUUCAUAGAAUGUUGACCAAAGAGAUGCAGAAUAUGAGGGAGGGAUCAAGGAUGAUUUCCAAGGCCAAGCAUGGGGGCUCACGCCUGUAAUCCCAUCACUUUGGGAGGUUGAGGUAGGAGGAUCACUUGAGCCCAGGAGUUUCAGACCAGCCUGGACAACCUAGGGAGACCCUGUCUCUGCAAAAAAAUUAAAAAAUUAGCCGAGCAUGGUGGCUGCACCUGUGGUCCCAGCUACUUGGGAGACUGAGAUGGGAGGAUGGCUUGACUCUGGGAAGUCAAGGCUGCAGGAAGUCCUGUUCACACCAUUGCACUGCACUCUACUCCAGCCUAAGUGACAAAGACGGACCCUGUCUCCACCAAAAAAAAAAAAAAAAAA
ensembl:lncRNA